AACGAACGCUGGCGGCAGGCUUAACACAUGCAAGUCGAGCGAGACCUUCGGGUCUAGCGGCGGACGGGUGAGUAACGCGUGGGAACGUGCCCUUCUCUACGGAAUAGCCCCGGGAAACUGGGAGUAAUACCGUAUACGCCCUUUGGGGGAAAGAUUUAUCGGAGAAGGAUCGGCCCGCGUUGGGUUAGGUAGUUGGUGGGGUAAUGGCCCACCAAGCCGACGAUCCAUAGCAGGUUUGAGAGGAUGAUCAGCCACACUGGGACUGAGACACGGCCCAGACUCCUACGGGAGGCAGCAGUGGGGAAUCUUAGACAAUGGGGGCAACCCUGAUCUAGCCAUGCCGCGUGAGUGAUGAAGGCCUUAGGGUUGUAAAGCUCUUUCAGCUGGGAAGAUAAUGACGGUACCAGCAGAAGAAGCCCCGGCUAACUCCGUGCCAGCCGCCGCAGUAA
rnacentral:rRNA from 1 species